GCUGAAAUAGUUCAGGUGGGAGAGCUUUAGACUGUAGAUCUAAAGGUCCCUGGUUCAAUCCCGAGUUUCGGCA